UACAGAGGGGGCAAGCGUUGUUCGGAAUUACUGGGCGUAAAGGGCUCGUAGGCGGCCAACUAAGUCAUACGUGAAAUCCCUCGGCUUAACCGGGGAACUGCGUCUGAUACUGGAUGGCUUGAGUUCGGGAGAGGGAUGCGGAAUUCCAGGUGUAGCGGUGAAAUGCGUAGAUAUCUGGAGGAACACCGGUGGCGAAGGCGGCAUCCUGGACCGAUACUGACGCUGAGGAGCGAAAGUGUGGGGAGCGAACAGG
rnacentral:rRNA from 1 species